rnacentral:rRNA from 1 species
UACAGAGGUCUCGAGCGUUUGUUCGGGAUUCAUUGGGCGUAAAGGGCGCGUAGGCGGCGGGGUAAGUCGGGUGUGAAAUUUCGGAGCUUAACUCCGAAACUGCAUUCGAUACUGGCGUGCUUGAGGACUGGAGAGGAGACUGGAAUUCAUGGUGUAGCAGUGAAAUGCGUAGAGAUCAUGAGGAAGACCAGUGGCGAAGGCGGGUCGUCU